CAACACCACCACUGCUCACAUGCAUACGAACUUGUGACCACACUAACUGGGCUAAAUAAUGGAUUUUCCUUAGCCUUACUGUCAUCAUCAUUUUAAAGAAUGUUCUUGGGAGUGUGGCUGAUGAUCAAGCAGGUCACUCCAGGAUUGUGGUGGCAACAGCGCAGACAAGUACAACCAACACCCUGAGUACCAAGUCAGUCUGGAUCCACUAUAGUUCUAAACUCUCCUCAUCCACUGGUGCUGUAGAUGGAUAAUCAGGAUCAUAAUCAUCCUCUUCCUCAUUCUCCGAAUCAAGAGCAAUCCCCUUGUUUCUCUGUCGCAUGCGGGAGAGCAACUGAGA